rnacentral:rRNA from 1 species
GGGUUGUGAGGUUAAGCGACCAAGCGUACACGGUGGAUGCCCUGGCAGUCAGAGGCGAUGAAGGACGUGCUAAUCUGCGAAAAGCGCCGGUAAGGUGAUAUGAACCGUUAUAACCGGCGAUGUCCGAAUGGGGAAACCCAGUGUGACUCGUCACACUAUCAUUAACUGAAUCCAUAGGUUAAUGAGGCGAACCGGGGGAACUGAAACAUCUAAGUACCCCGAGGAAAAGAAAUCAACCGAGAUUCCCCCAGUAGCGGCGAGCGAACGGGGAGGAGCCCAGAGCCUGAAUCAGCAUGUGUGUUAGUGGAAGCGUCUGGAAAGGCGCGCGAUACAGGGUGAGAGCCCCGUACACAAAAGCGCACAUGCUGUGAGCUCGAUGAGUAGGGCGGGACACGUGGUAUCCUGUCUGAAUAUGGGGGGACCAUCCUCCAAGGCUAAAUACUCCUGACUGACCGAUAGUGAACCAGUACCGUGAGGGAAAGGCGAAAAGAACCCCGGCGAGGGGAGUGAAACAGAACCUGAAACCGUGUACGUACAAGCAGUGGGAGCCCCACCACUAAGCCAGU